UACAGAGGCCUCGAGCGUUAGGCGGAAUCACUGGGCUUAAAGCGUGUGUAGGCGGAUCGUUAAGUACCUUGUGAAAUCCCACGGCUCACCCGUGGAACUGCUGGGUAUACUGGCGGUCUUGGGCCAACUAGGGGCAGCUGGAACAAGCGGUGGAGCGGUGAAAUGCGCAGAUAUCAGGAGGAACACCGAUGGCGAAGGCGGGUCUCUGGGCCGUAACUGACGCUGAGGAGCGAAAAGCAUGGGGAGCGAACAGG
rnacentral:rRNA from 1 species